CAGCUUCACUCAUCUGAAAAUACCUGACAGCUCCUGUGAACAUAGUCAGCUCCCUGGGCCUCAGUUUCUCCAUUUGGAAGAAGGGAGAAAAGGGAGGACUUGCCUGCUUCUUCAUGUUUGAUGUGCUAUGAGCAGCUUCAGUGAUGUGGUUUCAAUGAGCAGAACUUUCCUUGUACAUCAAAGGAUGGGCCGAGGGUGCUGUCAACCAAUUCUCUUCCUCCGAUCUCUUCAAACGCAGAGUCGCCCAGGCUCUGACAGUUUUGAUGCAUGGAUAAGGACCGGUUACUUUGCAUUUUUUUUAAUAUGGCAGAAAAUUCGAACUCAUAUUUUAACAAUAAACACUGAAAUAAUGGGCGA